rnacentral:rRNA from 1 species
AUUGAACGCUGGCGGCAUGCCUUACACAUGCAAGUCGAACGGCAGCGCGGGGCAACCUGGCGGCGAGUGGCGAACGGGUGAGUAAUAUAUCGGAACAUACCCUAGAGUGGGGGAUAACGUAGCGAAAGUUACGCUAAUACCGCAUACGCACUAAGGUGGAAAGUGGGGGAUCUUCGGACCUCAUGCUCAUGGAGUGGCCGAUAUCUGAUUAGCUAGUUGGUGAGGUAAAGGCUCACCAAGGCGACGAUCAGUAGCUGGUUUGAGAGAACGACCAGCCACACUGGAACUGAGACACGGUCCAGACUCCUACGGGAGGCAGCAGUGGGAAUUUUGGACAAUGGGGGCAACCCUGAUCCAGCAAUGCCGCGUGAGUGAAGAAGGCC